UAUUGGUGGCGACCGGCGCACGGGUGCGUAACGCGUAUGCAACCUACCUUUAACAGGGGCAUAACACUGAGAAAUUGGUACUAAUUCCCCAUAACAUUCGAGAAGGCAUCUUCUUGGGUUAAAAACUCCGGUGGUUAAAGAUGGGCAUGCGUUGUAUUAGCUAGUUGGUGAGGUAACGGCUCACCAAGGCAACGAUACAUAGGGGGACUGAGAGGUUAACCCCCCACAUUGGUACUGAGACACGGACCAA
rnacentral:rRNA from 1 species